GUGUAAUCGUGUAUAUAUUGUAAAAUUUAUCAAAAGUAAUUACAUAUAUUAUUAAGAAAAUAAUUAAUUUGACCAGACAAUGCUGCUGUGUAUUGAUGAGGGGGUCGAAUGUGCAGUACAGCCAGAAGAAAACAUGUUUGUGUUUAAUUGUCUUCUCCAGGACUGAAUAAAGUGGAGGAAAGCAGCUCUUGGUGUCGUCUCGGUGUCAUUGAGUGAAAGUAGAUCCGUUACAUUUAUCUGAAAAAACAAAGCCCUGCAUGUCAUUAUGGAAGGCAGUCGUUGGUGACAGACACAUCAUGUCCCGCUGAGAGAGAGACUGGAGUUUCCACUGUUCAAAGUCUGUGGGGGAUUCAAACAACAUUAAAUCUCUGGAUGUUUGACUGCUGCUCCUCGUUAUUAUGAAAAGAGCAAGCUAGACAGAGUGAUCCAGCACAAGGGGACAUAUGGACUACAUCUGAAAGAAGCAAAGGUGAAGACCGAGAUGCCACACGCAGGACACGUCGGUAUUGUCAGCAUUGCUCUGUUAUAGACAAGAUAACCAUUCACGGAAAUCAAUAAGAACAUAUCAACGGUAGGUUGGAGAACUGCCAUAGAACAGAGUACAGACAAGAAACAGAGCUGUAAAGGAGGAAAGUGUCAGAACAGCCGACUCUCAUGGAAAUCUAAAACUAUUUUAGAUUUUGGUCAACUGAAUUUGUAUGAAUUUCUUACAUCGUCAGUUGUAUGAUCUGCUUUUGACCCAUGGAUGAUGAGUUCAAGCCCAUAGUAUAUUUAGUUUAGGCUUAUGCUAGUAUACAAUCACACAGAAUCUAUUUCAUUUCAUAGCGUGUGCAUUAAAAGAAAUGGCCUUUUAUUUCUUUCCAGGCACCGUGAGUGUUUGCAUUUGAACUCAUUGAAACUAUAGUUGUGUGUAAGCAUUUGUUACUGUGCAUUUAUCACAAAGCAUUCAUCAGGAUUGGCUUCUAUUGUUUUCACUAUUUCAAGUAAUUUUAGUGCGUUCCAAAUGGGAUAUAUUGCCCUUCAAAGGGGACUUUGGAUUGAAAACAUUCAUGGCCGCCAUAUUGAAGUGUCAUUUCAAAAUCAAAUACUCAAAACUGGCCCCUUUCGGAAUCAAAGAUUUGGAAACUACAGGAUUCUGUAGGCCUUUGCGCAUGGAAGUUGUUUGGUGCUGCACAAUGCUAAUCCCUGGGAAAUUGUCAUAUCAGAGGAUAAAACCCUGGAAGGGAUUAGGGCACAGGUGUCAAACUCAGUUCCUGGAGGGCCGCAGCUCUGCACAGUUUAGUUCCAACCCUAAUUAAACUAACAUAAUCAAACUAAUGAAAUCCUUUAGGCUUGUUUGAUACCUACAGAUAGGUGUGUUUUGAAGCAGGUCUGAUACCUACAGAUAGGUGUGUUGAAGCAGGGCUGGAACUAAACUUUGCAGAGCUGCGGCUCUCCAGGAAUAGAGUUUGACAUCUCUGGAUUAGGGCAUAGGGAUGAGCCGAUACCAAAUGGAACGCAGUGCGUUUUGUUGUUCUUCCAUCUUUGCUCCUUUUCCAACUGUCAAUAAAAAACCCAUAAAAGUGUUGUCACCUUGUGGACAAACCAAUUAAUGGAAAAACUAGCAUGUGCAUGCUUUUGUGCAUGACAACAUUUGCUUAAAAUCUAAAGCAUACUGUGGGGUUACAUGACCUUCAUGCUAACUUUAUAAAAAAAAAAUCACCACAUUGUAUGGAUCACAUUGUAUGAAUUCAUACGGAAUUGCCAGCUUGUAAAAUAGUUAUAUGAUUUCGCAUGAGAUAGACUGGCACUCUAAUACUUUAAGAGAUCAUGGAAUGUCUCUUGUCAGUCUGUUCAUGACAGGAGUUAAUUUGAGCAUUAAAAGGUGCACUCAGUAUGUUUUGGUUUGCUUUUCAUUAGUUAUUCUGUACUAGUGUAUACUGACACCUACAGGUGUGGAUGUAUAAAGUUUGUUUAUUGACAGCUGAUCACUUAUUUUUCAUGUAAUUUAUUUCGUGCCUUAAGAACCACCAACAGUACUAUAUAAUAAUUAACUUAUUAUGUUUAUUGUUAUUUUUACAUAAGAUAAUCCUUUUAUUAAUAUUAUUAGACAACUGAUGUGACUGGAGUUCUGAUUUUAUGUGAGUGUUUUAUUUAAUCUAUAAUCACUGUAUGUAUAAAACAUCUGAAUACAC
ensembl:lincRNA